rnacentral:rRNA from 1 species
AGAGAGAGACAUGCGCGCAUAUCAAUAAGCGGAGGAAAAGAAACUAACAAGGAUUCCCUUAGUAACGGCGAGUGAAGCGGGAAGAGCUCAAAUUUGAAAUCUUCAAGGUUUUACCUUGACGAAUUGUAGUUUAAAGAAGUGUUUUCUGCUGAAGUUUUGGUAAAAGUUCUUUGGAAUAGGACAUCAUAGAGGGUGAGAAUCCCGUAUUUGACCAUUAUUUUCAGCUUUGUGAUACACUUUCAAAGAGUCGGAUUGUUUGGGAAUGCAGUCCAAAAUGGGUGGUAAAUUUCAUCUAAAGCUAAAUAUUGGCGAGAGACCGAUAGCGAACAAGUACCGUGAGGGAAAGAUGAAAAGAACUUUGAAAAGAGAGUUAAACAGUACGUGAAAUUGUCAAAAGGGAAGCGUUUGACACCAGUGUUGUUUUCUCGAAAAUCAAUUAAAAAUGGCUCGAUUUUGUAUUGCUGAGACCUUAAAAGCUCACUGUACAUUUUUCGUGUCUUUUUUAAUGCACUUUUCGUUUAACAAGUCAGCAUCAGUUUCUUUUGUUGUAAAAGGGUCAUUGGAAGGUGGCUUUCUUUUCGGAGAAAGUGUUUAUAGCCUUUGGCCUCUGCAAUCGAAGAGACUGAGGUCUGCAGCGUAGACUCUUCGGGGUUAGAUACAUUUGUGCUAAGUUAUAGCUUUUUAUAGACAACUUGUUGACUAUAAUUAGUCUUGUAGCUUACUCGCUUAUGCUAUUUUACCUACGCUUAGGAUGUUGAAGAUGUAGCACAUCAU